UCUCAACCUCAGUUACAUGUAAGAACGAGAAUGCAGAGAAUGAUCUAGGGUCUGAGGAGACAGCCCAAGCAGCCUCCGACCACUGAAAUCCUGAAGAUGUUUUCACCGGGAGGGGACAGGACAGGUGACACGGUCAGUCGGUCAGUGGCCACCUGCUGCAGGUGUUCUGAGAGGUGAAGACUCACACCCAAAUUGGAGAUGCUGUUGUGGAAGAGUGAUCGUCCCAGGAACCUACAGCGAAACAGGACAGUUUAGGGGGAGGAGACCUCCCUCUCCAGGUCUCAUAUCACAAGCGUCAGAGGGUGAAAUCGCGAUAUUAAUAUGAAUGUGACAUUUUACUAUGUCUCUUUACUUCCUUAUCUCUGCUACCAGCUGUGUGACCUUGAACAAGUUACCUCGUCUGUCUGCUCCUCAAUUUCUCCAGCUGUGAAAUGGGGUUAAGGAGAUGGCCUGUGGGGGGCUGUGGGGAGGACUCACUGAGUCUGUGCGCGUUAAGGACCUAGACCUACACCUUGCGAGAGUCAGGUCUCUGGCUGCGGACUUGCAUUCUUGUGCUGCUUUCACUGUUUUAACUGUUAAUGGAAGCCAGAGCUCCAUGUGUACCACCUCUGGUGCUGGGGGUGAGGAUCAAAGGCCCCUCACCCUCGAUCGAUGGCCAGAUUUUCACCAGACUUCUCAUCCGAACCCUCUCUCGUCCCAGACGUGGAAUCGCUCAGCCCCCAGCUUCCGCAGUCACUGUAAUGUGAGCUGGACGCCAUCCCCUCGGGCAGAUGGGUCCCAAAUGCCGUGUGGGGGCCACACAGUGACAUGGCGGUUCCUACUCCUCCACAGCGGCCUCUUCGAGGAAACAACCCGACCAUGUACACUGACAGAUUCUGGAAGGUUCUCCAGGGUCAGCUCCCACCGAAGAUUCCAGCAC